GCCCGCUUGGCUAAGUGGUAUAGCGUGUCACUAGUAAUAUCCAUCUCCUGAUGACAUGACAAGAUCAGCGGUUCGAUUCCGCUAGUGGGCA